UUCCAGACCCUUCUUAAAUAUUAUCGUGUAUACCAGCUUUAUUAUUUAGCUCUGCAAUACUGCUAAAUUGGUCAAUUACUUCCCUGCCUCCCCACCCUCCAACUGAAUUCUCACCACCCUUGAGGGAAAACAGUCUGGGUUCCCUGUGGAACAUCAUUUCUCAAAACUGUAUUUUGGGGCUUGCUUUCUCAUUUUUCCUUUCCAUUUCAGAUAUCCUUACUGCUGUCUUUGGGCUCUUUAAACACUGCCUUUUUUCCUUUUUCGAUCACACCCAAAAACUUUUCUCAAAAAUUACAUGUAAAUUUAAAAAUUUACAAAUUAAAUUUAAAAUUGAAAUUUUAAAAAUCCCGACUCUCCCUAAUUUCAGGAAGCAUGCAUUUAUUAUACAUAACAAGACGUGAAAGCCGCAAGAGUUUCAGCCUAAACACUGAAGACCCCGCGAAGUGAAUCCAGCUGCUGCUCUACAAGCAGCAACAACAACUGGGAAGCCUUCUCAGCUACACUUCGGGGCACUGGUCCAACCCCACGCAAAAUCCCUCGUUUCCCUUAGCGUGGUAAGACGGAGCCUGACCUGAGCUCCAACUGUCCUAUCUUUUUCAAAUGUUUCAAACUUACUGCCUUUGUUCAGCAGAACCACGGGCACGGUGAUGAUGGUGACAAGCGCAGCAGCACCCAGCAGUCCCAGAAGAACCUUCCACGGUGUCUGCAAGCCGAGCAGAUCAAGUCCAAUUAGAGGGAAGCGUGUGGCCCCAGUUUCCGUAGGAGGGUCGGGGCUGCUCCAGAGGCAGCAGGAUUUGCAGGAAGGAAGACUGUACACAGAGAAUAAAUAACUUGGCCAAGCCAUUCAGCUAGGAAGUUGUAGAUCCUAAAUUAAGAGUUCAAGGUCUUAAUGGCUACUCUAUGCGGCCUCUCAUAGUCUUUUCAAGGGUUUUGGAGAAGAAUAAAAGAUCAGGUAUGGCUUCUCCCUCCCCCAGCUCUCUAUUGUUCCCUAAAGGAUUAUUCAUUCGUUCAUUCAUUCCUACAUCCUCCCAUUUAUUCCAGUCAUCCACAGAUGUUUGAGUGGUUACAAUGUGCCAGCCUCCCUUCUAGGUACUGGAGAUAAAGUGGGACAAGAGAGGUGAGGUCUGGACCCUUGGCACUUUCACGAUAAAAUACACAGUUGCUUGUGAUACAUCAGUAUCCUCACUCACCCCCAACUCCAGAGGCUGAAACUAACUCUCCUCCUCCCUCUUCCAACUGCUGAGGAAGAUGAGUCAAUGGUGUUACUGGACCCUGUGAACUGAUGCUGUGAAGAGAGGCCAUUUAACACGGACUACGGGGAAUGGUGCCACAGGGGGCUCAGUGCUGCCCUUCACUCUCAGCAUUUUGCUCACUCAGCAUUGAUGACAGGAUGUCCCAAAAGUAACAAAAGAUGGGAGCCAGUCCUCUCAUAGCUGUUUCUUCAAUCAUCCCAUCAACAGCUCUUCAUUUAUUGAACUACCUUCCUUUUCCAAAGAGGUAAUGCUGAGAUCAGUCAGAAAGGCUUUCUGAGAAA
rnacentral:lncRNA from 10 species